rnacentral:rRNA from 1 species
ACGAUCCCGCAAGGGAGAGUGGCGGAAGGGUGAGUAACACGUGGGAAUCUACCUCCUCGCAGGGAACAACCUCUCGAAAGAGAGGCUAAUACCCAAAAGGGUCAGUAAUGAUCAGAGUCGAAAGGCGUGAGGAGAGGAGCCCGCGGCCCAUCAGCUAGUUGGUGAGGUAAUGGCUUACCAAAGCUACGACGGGUAGGGGAUCUGAGAGGAUGUCCCCCACACUGGAACUGAAACACGGUCCAGACGCCUACGGGUGGCAGCAGUGAGGAAUAUUGGACAAUGGGCGAAAGCCCGAUCCAGCAACGCCGCGUGGAGGAUGAAGGCCUUCGGGUCGUAAACUUCUUUAGAGGGAGACGAGAAAGGACGGUAUCCCUAGAAUAAGCGACGGCAAACUACGUGCCAGCAGCCGCGGUAACACGUAGGUCGCGAGCGUUAUCCGGAUUUACUGGGCGUAAAGCGCUUGUAGGCGGUUCUGUAAGUCGGGCGUGAAAUCUCCGGGCUUAGCCCGGAGUGGCCGUUCGAUACUGCAGGGCUUGAGGAUGCUAGAGGGUGGUGGAAUUCCAGGUGUAGUGGUGAAAUGCGUAGAUAUCUGGAGGAACAUCCGUGGCGAAGGCGGCCACCUGGGGCAUUCCUGACGCUGAGAAGCGACAGCUAGGGGAUCAAACGGGAUUAGAAACCCCGGUAGUCCUAGCCGUAAACGAUGGACGCUAGGUGUUGGCAGAUCUAACCCUGUCUGCGCCGAAGCAAACGCGUUAAGCGUCCCGCCUGGGAACUACGGUCGCAAGAUUAAAACUCAAA